UGCCAGCCGCCGCGGUAAUACGGAGGGGGUUAGCGUUGUUCGGAAUUACUGGGCGUAAAGCGUACGUAGGCGGAUUAAAAAGUUAGAUGUGAAAUCCCUGGGCUCAACCCAGGAACUGCAUUUAAAACUAUUGAUCUUGAAAUUGGUAAGGGUUAGUAGAAUUUCCAGUGUAGAGGUGAAAUUCGUAGAUAUUGGAAAGAAUACCAGAAGCGAAGGCGACUAACUAGGCCAUUUUUGACGCUGAGAUACGAAAGCGUGGGUAGCAAACAGGAUUAGAUA
rnacentral:rRNA from 1 species